UACGUAGGGUGCGAGCGUUGUCCGGAUUUACUGGGCGUAAAGAGCUCGUAGGUGGUUUGUCGCGUUGUUCGUGAAAACCUGAGGCUUAACCUUGGGCGUGCGGGCGAUACGGGCAGACUGGAGUACUGCAGGGGAGACUGGAAUUCCUGGUGUAGCGGUGGAAUGCGCAGAUAUCAGGAGGAACACCGGUGGCGAAGGCGGGUCUCUGGGCAGUAACUGACGCUGAGGAGCGAAAGCGUGGGGAGCGAACAGG
rnacentral:rRNA from 1 species